rfam:Brachyspira sp. CAG:700 genomic scaffold, scf332
GGGUCUGUAGCUCAGAUGGUUUAGAGCGUUCGACUGAUAAUCGAAAGGUCGGUGGUUCAAUUCCUCCCAGACCCA